GAUGAACGCUGGCGGCGUGCCUAACACAUGCAAGUCGAACGAGAUGCGUAUCGGAAAGCUUCGGCCGGAAGAUGCGUUAUCUAGUGGCGGACGGGUGAGUAACACGUGGGUAACCUGCCUUAUGGAGGGGGAUAACAGAGAGAAAUCACUGCUAAUACCGCAUAAGCACACAGUACCGCAUGGUACAGGGUGAAAAGAUUUAUCGCCAUAAGAUGGACCCGCGUCUGAUUAGCCAGUUGGCAGGGUAAAAGCCUACCAAAGCAACGAUCAGUAGCCGAUCUGAGAGGAUGACCGGCCACAUUGGGACUGAGACACGGCCCAAACUCCUACGGGAGGCAGCAGUGGGGAAUAUUGCACAAUGGGGGAAACCCUGAUGCAGCGACGCCGCGUGAGUGAAGAAGUAUUUCGGUAUGUAAAGCUCUAUCAGCAGGGAAGAUAAUGACAGACCUGACUAAGA
rnacentral:rRNA from 1 species